UCGUCUUUAACUUGAAUGCGUCUCCCUUCCGCGGAAACGACGCGAGCUCCUAUAGCCACGUCGAAUUCUCUUCCAGAUACCGGCUCUAUCCAUAUGUAAUCCCCCUGAAGCCGGUAACAACAAACAAAAGAAAAAAAAUCUUUGCAAUCGCGGGGCUCCACCAGACCAAAGAGAAAGAAUAUGAUAAGAUAAUCCGAAUUUUCAUCGAACAGUCAUUAGGUGACCGUUAUUGGUAUGCGUAUAAUGGUGUUAGAAGGCCUGGCGAACUUUGUAAAUUUUCCUAAUAAAUUUUGUGUGAUGUUUUUCAAUGCUGCUUUCGAGUGUAAAUGUACUAUAACUCAACGAUUGUAAGUAUAUGCCUAGGUUUAUUUCCUGUAAAUUACGUAUCAAAAACUUCAAUCGGGUACCCCUGUAUCUAUUCGUUUGUGAGUAGCAAUAACGAUGUAGAUGGAAAAACUAGAAAUCCGAUAUAUAAGUGAGGGAAUCGGGAAACGGUACGUAGUUCCUAUUUUCCUACAGUAGUAUAUUUACACUAUAAAAUAACUAUUCUUUUGUAGGCGAGCCCGUGAUAGGAAGAGGAGAUCCUCGUUAAUUCCCCGCCCUAAUUGCUCGCCUACCGGAACAUGAUCGGAAGAGCACUUCCGCACUCGGAGCUCAACGCAGGGUCAUCUGCGUCAUUAUAGUUAUAGUUACUCGAUCGUCUGCAUUCACCUAAACCGUUUGAACUAAAAUGUCUGUAAAUUUCCUCAUCACACCUGUUUCUAUAGAACAAACUAUUCCACGAUUCCAAACUCCUCAAUUAUUGAUAUUGAAAUCGAAUGAUCGAGAAGAUCAUGUGGAUAAUAAAAAAUCCUAUGAUACAAAAUGUGUGACCAUGACCAACCCGCGUGACGAUGACCAUUUCUCUGAAUCGAUGGCCGCCACCUGAAACAAGAAUAUUCAUCCUUCUUAUUCAACAUUCUAAUGGAAAAAUAAGUAACGAUCACAGGGAUGAUACAUAGUCACAUACUUAACACGUGACACUUGCCGGAGAUUUACCGUUUAGUACUCAAAAGAAAUUACGCCACUAUAGGUCACGAGGCUCUGCAAUAUGUGUAUAGCCUAGGCGUAUUAUAAACCUUGCGCAACUUAAGUGUGCAGGUACGUCGUACGUAGAUAGUAUAGUAUUCGAGAAUUAUUAAGCUGCUCAUCGUUAAGAAGUUACUCGUUAUGCUCCUGCAUAGAGAGCAACACGAAGAAGAAAAAUUAAGUAACAGAGAGGAGGAUCGAGCACAAAUAUCCUGGUCGAUCACCGUUACCUUCGCGUAUAAGUAUAACUCGAGAGCCAAGUGCCAUGGGAGCGAACCGAGCCAAGUUUAAACCUGUUUGCAAAGUGGGUUAGAUUCGCCACUGCAGCAGAAGCUGGUGAUCAGAAUCGUUGGAAUCAUCCUCGUUGUCGGCUUACCGAUUAGUUUGAAUAAUGUAUUACUCGAUAAUUUGUAAUCACGGGGUGUCGGGAUAAACGUGACACUCGGAAAUAAACAACCCCAAGUAUUUUUCUGGUUUGCUUCGAAGGCUAACAAAACCUCCGAUCUCUCACCUGGAUCUUCUUCUCCAGACCAAACAGGUACCACGAUCUGCAAUACCGACGGAACUUUCGAACACUAAAUACGAUUGCCAAAGAAUGAGUUCACUGGUUU